ACAGGACAGAGGGACCGGGUCAGAGAAACACAGCAUGGCUGGGGUCGGAAGAGCCCCGAAGGUCACCCUGCAACGUGGAGAUGGGCAAAGCCAGGGCUUCCCAGCUCUGGUGUGGGAGCACUCGUACAGCAGAGACAAGAAAGGGAGGAAAACAAACAGUAAGCAACAAGCCUAAGAAGCAUGCUGAGCCUGCAGCUAACAGCAACCCAUAGCAGCUCACUCCACGGAUCUACCAAGGAGGAGCAGAGCGGACAAUUGGAGGGGAAGUGGGGAGCGACCAACGAUGGGGGAGGAGAGCGAGGGAGAGAAGCGCUGUUUGAGCCCCGUCAGCCCCAAACAGAACGCGAGAAACAAACUGCAGAAGGGAUGAGCAACAAAGGCAGCUUUCAAAGCCGUGUCAGGGCUGUGCCUUUCAGGUUCACAGCGCGGACGUCGGGAAAGGACAUCCAGUUUCACAGAUUACAUAAGUUUUAGUACAUCUCCCUUUAAAGUCUGCUGCGCUGCACUCUCACCACGUACACAGCCGCCCACACGCACCCGGGCUGCUCGCGAACACGCCCUGCCCCAAUCCUUUCUUACAACAGCGGUUCCUUUUUUACAACCGCACAGAAUUUCCACGUUCUCCCCAAGCACUGUGAGCAGUCCAUCUGCACCCCGCGACCGACCCCUUCCAUAAGAGCAGGCGCUAUCCGAGCAAACCCCUCUGCUGUUGGAUCCUCACACCUUUCUUCCCUCCCCACCACCACCUGCACGGCCGCCCCUCAGCCCAGGAGAGCUGUGCUGACGGCUGAAGCCCGGCGCGGUGUGUGAUGCUGCGGCCCCAGCGGUUCCCAGCGGCUGAAACAAUGCACUGGAAAGUCAGGUUUGUCCAUUUCCGCCCGCUGUCCCGUUUUAGAAAAGCAGCGUACGGACAGCAAGGAUAUGCAAAGGUCCGGCUUCUCAAAUCUCGAUCAGCCACGUCCCAAGGAAGGCCACCAAGGUGCCGGCAGUACUUCGUCGCUGCAGUGCCAAUGUGACGCGGCAGUCCCACUGACUGCUGAAAUGAAAGACCAUUCAUCACUCUUUGCCCGGAAGCAACAGUUAAUUUACAAUAACUCAAUGUCAAGAUGGCAGUUUAAAAUCCUCCUGAGCAUUGCCCUAGGAGAUUUUGUCCUGGCUCUCUGCAGCCGCCGUGGAUUCAGCUGAGCUUCAAAUCUUUAAGUCACUUAGUUUUAGAGCACGACAGAAACAAAGGAGGAGAGAAGACCUGCCAGGCUGCAGUGAGUGCGUGCCCAAAGCCAUGGAGGGAUCGUCUCUCCAGCACAUUCCUUUGGGACUUCAGCAGUCACAGAAAUUAGAGGUGGAAAUGAAGAACACAGCCAAUCAAAAACCCUGCGUGCAAUGGAGAUCAUUCCCUAUGGUUUGUUGUUUUCUCCAGACUACAUUUAGAUAACACGUGAAUCUUGCUCAGAGGAGGAAAUGCUUGCAGCCUGGAGCAGAGGAGAGGGACGUGCCCUGGGCUAACAUCACAGAGUGCAGCUUUCUGAAGGGACCACGACCUGUGCCUUGCAUCCUGCACACAGAGGUCUGGGUCUGACCCCAGGCCCUGAGCAGCACUCCCUGCACACAGUGUCUCACAUCCCUCACUCUGCUCUCUCCCUCACCUUAGUUUGGAUGUGGGUUCAUCUUUUCGCUUUAAGGACUUUGCUCAUGAUGUUUUGCUAGCACCGAUGGCCCUUGCCAUUGAUUGUCCUUUUAUCAAGGACAAUCUGCAUCCAAUGUUUUGAAAGCAGUCAUUCUAAAACCUUCAGGUAGUGCCGCAGACAACGGCUGACACGCCAUCUAUGUAAAUCAGAAGGUGUCUAAAGAGGGUGUUUACAAGCAGAAUGCUGCUAAGAGUCUGCCUUGGUUGCAGAUAACAAGGCUGAGACAAUGACAGAUCUCCUUCCCCUCGCAGCCAAGAGCAGCUCCCUCUGAUUGGCUUCGCUGUGUUUAUCCGGGAUGCUGGGAGAGAGCAGGCACCAAAUACGCAAUUAAUUGGCAGUUUGCAGGAGCAUAUUGCCUAAAGAUAAACAGAGUGGGUGAUCGUGUCGUAUGUAAAAUGGCUGAGUGCUGCAGAUGUAGUGUUGACCCAGUUCAAAAAAAAAAAAAGGAUUUUCUUUUGUUCUCUUGAAAAAUAAUUGUAUUCCAAUGAGUACUUUGUUGCACAGUCCCUCUGGCCUUUGAGCAUUUCGUGUGUGUAAGCCAUUCCAUGUUCCCCCUUAAUCUGGAAGUACUUAGUAAAUUAAGAAUUUGCUGAAAACUUUUCCUGCUGACAUCAGUAGAACACUCCACCAAUUCAGGCUGCUGUGUGUGGCAGCAGAUGAGCGCCUUGCAACGUGGCAUUAAUGGCCUUCACUCCUCACAGGGGGCGUUUUGCAAGCAGGAAAAUGCAAGACGUUGUCGGGAAAAAAAGCACAAAGAUGACACAAAGUCCAGAGUUGGGUAAGGAAAGAAAGAAAACAGGAAGAAGGCUGAAUGGUAUUUGGGGGCUCAAGAUACACACUGGGGAAAAUAGCUGAGGCUGGAAAGGGGAAGGAAGGCCGAGGUGAUGCUGGGGAGCUUGAGAGCCUUAAGAAAGGGUACACGUGCCAUGAUCAGAGCAGCAGCACAAACUUCUGGAUGGAAUGCAAAGCACACGUACUGAACAGUGGGAGGACGCAUUAAGAAAUGUCCUAGAUGAUGACUUCCAGACUCCACGCCCUGUAAAGCAAAGUGGAGGCCCACGCAGCUACGCACACCAGCGUGGGCAAUGGAAAUCAAUGCCCUCACAGGACAAGAGGACACUCAUCUCUCUCCUUUUUAUACUUAGUGUUCUAAAAUUGAAGACUAAAGCAUGAGACAAACCUCUCACUCCAUUUUGGCACAAUCACACUGACGUGAACAGCACAGUUUGGAUGGAGCAAGACAUCAAGUCAUGACCUGGCAGCUGCAUUGCUGAGGCCAACACACAGAGACUGCAUCUGCCCUGGCUGACAUGACGGCUUCAGAGAUGCCUUCCCUGGAACUGCUGAUCCCGGGGAGAGAUCUGUGCAGCACACUGAGGCUCUCUGUGUGUCCUCAGACAGCUCCUGGCAGCUCCACACGCUCUGCCCACCGCUGUCCUUCCCUCUCCCCCACCGUGGGCUCUCCGAUGCACUGCAGGCCCGGCCCCAUUGCGGUGUUGGAGUGCCCUGCAGUUCAGUGUUCCAGAAGCGUGGCAAAAAUUCUGCAGUUUUCUCUUAGAUCAAAGUUUCUGUAUUUGGGUACCUAUAAUUAGCGAGCAAAACAAGUGACAUUUUGUUCGGAGAUGCAGAACUUCCAUUGAUUUUAAUGGAUUCAGCAUCCCAGAAAAGUAGGCCGCUUAUUUAUGUACCUCCAUCAGCAUUUGCUUAUGCAUUGACCUUAUGUUUUGCAAAUCAUGAGACAACCGCACGCAGCACUCUGUUAUUCCCUUCAUUUUGGUCAGCAAUCUCAUCCGAGAGGUGCAUUUCAGCUCUAAAUGUGCCUUUUAAACUUCUCCUCUAUUUAACACAACACUUGGGCACCAGUUUAACAUCUUCUGGAGAGAAGCGCCUCACCGCAUCGGCGCUGAUAGGAUUCUCCCAUCCCUUUGGUUGAGAUGGGGCACACAUCUUUGUUUCCCCACUUUCUGCUCCUGCUGGGGGCAGUCUUUGGACACCGAUCCGUGCCCCCACACAGCACCAGGCCCAGCAGUGCUGCACCGCCUGCAGGAAGAGAGCUGUGAAAUGCAGCCCCGACUGUUUAACACACUUGGCAGGAAAUAAUAGAUAAAAACGGACCGGACUUUCUGCCAUUAACAAUGCAGGCUAAUGAAGUGAAAUACUCUUCACAGAAAUAUUGUGACGGAUAUCCACGGUGUCGAAGGAAGUCCAAGAAGUGGCGGGGCAGACUGUUCUUGGGCCUGACUGCCAGGAAAAGUCCCCAUGGCCCUCACAGCCCAACCCUGCACCAGGGCAUGCAGCACUGCGCGGAGGUCUGUCAAUGUGCACUGCUUUAAAUGUGCCCAGAGAGGGCCCACAGAAGCCAAUGAGCUGGCACUGUCAGUGACAGUGACACAGGAGCCCAGCACGCAGCCAGCAGCUCCAUGGCAAAUCCCUGCAGUCUGUGUGGGCUGCUAGCCCCAUAGCCCUGUACCCAUAGCCCUGUACCCAUAGCCCCGUACCCAUAGCCCUGUACCCCACAGCCCUGUAGCCCUGCAGCCCCAGGCCAUGGUUUCCCCUCCCACACUCACAGUCCCGCGCUGGGAGCAGCUUCAGGAGCAGCUGUCCUUGCUCCUAGCAAUGCCCUCCAGCAUCAGGAUACCACGUUCCUCAGCACUGUGAGCUAAAGCUGCUCAAGGAAACGUGAUGCAUGUCAGGCUCGGGAUGUCUAAUGGGAGCUGACACUGCCGACACUGGCACUCAGAUGGGAGGAAUUCUUCCAACAAGGAAACCAAUUAAGAAACAUAACUGAUAGUGGUACAUAGCUUAGAAGGUAUAAAAAUCAAAACCAAAAACUGUCCUCAUCCCAAAAACAGACCACAUAAAAAAUAUUUACUUCUGUGCAGCCUAAAAAGCUUUAAACACAAGGAAACAUUCUAAAGGCCACCCGGAUCUUUUGCAUGUAUCCAUAUACCUGAAAGGCAAGGCAAUGGCUUCCAGUUCCAUGUGAGAUUUUAAAGUUUAUGGAUGUUUCUGACCUCAUUAAACCAGAGCUUCAUGGGAAAAGACAAACAGGGUGAUGGGGUCAGGUGAAGGAUGGUUUUGUACAUGGGCACAGGCUCUGCAUGGUGCCAGCAGCCCUGCACGCCCAGGGGAAGGCUGAGGCUGCCCAGCACUGAGCUGCAGGGCCGUUCCCCAGGGGCUGCUCACAAACCCCUUUCUGGUUGUGUGACUCCCAAUUGAAUCCCUGCCACUGCUUUGUUGUGUUGUUCUUGAGCUAAUCCCUGCCACAUCACUUUCUCAAAGUUCCUGGAGAUAUAUCCCUGUAAGACAAGGAAGACUGCAGCUACACUGACUUAACCCCAGAGUGUCUCUAACAAAUGUAUCAGCUGCCAGCAGCUCCAUGUAAGUGCAGAGUUUUACUGCAGUCAUCGUAACAGGAUCUGUCACUACGGUGUCCUCUGGAUGUCAUUAAUAAAUAAAAUAUGAAACCACUCAGGAAGAGGGAGAAAAAAUAUUUCUCAUGUUUUCUGGAGCACACUGAGAGGUCAAUGGCAGUGAUGGUGAAAGGAGAAGGUGAAGGGGACGGGCUCAGGAAUGGCAGCUUUGCAGUGUCCCAGAGGUGGGCAGGUGGAGCAGAGCAUCCCAGGUGACCCCAUCGUGUCUUAAAGAGUACAUAAAUGAGUGGUAUUUAACCUCUCCUCUUUCUCAGCUGCUUUAAGGUCCCCCUUACUCACAAUACAAGGGAAGAAGGAAACUAAGCUGGCAGAGGAAUGUCCUUUUCCAAAAAAAAAACGAGCAGUGAGCUAUCCUCAAAACAGCCAUUGACAAUUAGCUGGGAGAGAAAAAAACUCCCAACCCGAAGUACAGACAAAAUAAACACACCCUGUCCAUUGGACAGAAAUGGCCUCAUCAUCAUUUACCAAGCUAAAGUUUUUCCCUUGUCUGCCAAGCCAGCGCAACAAGGGCAAGUGAGUCAGUUUUCAUUGCCUGUGCACUUCUCAGACUAUGGGAGACUCAGACCCAUCACCCAGCACUGCUGCUCAGCCCCGGCUGCCCACCUCCAUCCCAGUCCUCAGCCUCAGCCCCCGGAGUUUUGCUGCAGCCACUUUUCUGGUUUAAAAAGUACUUAUCCUGAGAAAUGUGCAGCCCACAUACAGCCAUGUUCUCACCCCUCAUCCGCAAAGCUCAACGACUUGCUUUAGUUUGCUGCAGCCUACGAUGGGAUUUCAAAACGUGUCACACCUUCCCAAGAUCCCAUUCCCGUUCCCCACCCUCUGCUCUCCAGACUGAUCCCCAGGGAAGGCUGAAAUCCAAAUCUAUCUCCUGGCCAAUGACUUUCCAUCCCUGACAGCUCUGUGGGUGCUCAGGAGCUCACAGCGCUCAGCGGACGUCCUGCGCUCAGUUGGGACAAAGAGUGGAGCAGAUCCGUUUUGCAUGAGCUCUUCUUCGUUUGGUUUGCAGGAAGGAUAUUAUUUCCUAAAGGAUGAAUCUGUUUAUUGGCUGGGGAUCUCUCUAGUGCAUUUGUUUUUUGUUGUGAAUUUGGAUUAGAAGCCUCUCCUUGUUCCUGACAGUUGCUGGCAGCAUGCUGUAAAAAUAUGAUUAAUUAAAGUGUGACUCUGAA